GCUUUCUUGUGCUGAUGACUUGCUCAUCUCCACCAAACAUCAGCAUGUUCAGGAAAAUCCUCCACACCUGCCAUUCAGGAUGGAGCAAGGAGGCAGCUGGCACUGCUCUUGAUGUGCCCGGUGCCAAGCAAAGCCCUCAGUGGCUGGGGGAGGCUGCGGAGGCCCCAGCUGCAGGCAAGAGGCACCAACAGAGGCUGGAGAGCAGCUGAGCUGAUGGCAGGGCAAUGGGAGCAGGUGGAGUUGGUUACCCUGAUCAGGAGCUAUAUAACAGCCGGGGAGGGGGGAAUGGGGUGGUUUAGCUCAGCCCAACCUUGGUUUUGCUCUGGAUGUGAGGGGUCUGUGCUGGUUUCCAACUUUUGACACUGGCUGGGUAUGGUUAG
rnacentral:lncRNA from 1 species